UACGUAGGGUGCAAGCGUUAAUCGGAAUUACUGGGCGUAAAGCGUGCGCAGGCGGUUGUGCAAGACCGAUGUGAAAUCCCCGGGCUUAACCUGGGAAUGGCAUUGGUGACUGCACGGCUAGAGUGUGUCAGAGGGGGGUAGAAUUCCAACGUGUAGCAGUGAAAUGCGUAGAGAUGUGGAGGAAUACCGAUGGCGAAGGCAGCCCCCUGGGAUAACACUGACGCUCAUGGCACGAAAGCGUGGGGAGCAAACAGG
rnacentral:rRNA from 1 species